rnacentral:rRNA from 1 species
ACUCCUACGGGAGGCAGCAGUGGGGAAUUUUGGACAAUGGGCGAAAGCCUGAUCCAGCCAUGCCGCGUGAGUGAAGAAGGCCUUCGGAUUGUAAAGCUCUUUUAGUCGGAAAGAAAGAGGUCAUAGUAAAUAGCUAUGAUUUAUGACGGUACCGACAGAAAAAGCACCGGCUAACUACGUGCCAGCAGCCGCGGUAAU